rnacentral:ncRNA from 1 species
CCUAAGGUGAACUCAGGGAGGAGAGAAACCUCCCCCUGGAUCAGAAGAGGAAAAGCUUGCUUGAUCUUGAUUUUCGGUAUGAACGCAGACUGUAAAAGAUAAAG